rnacentral:tRNA from 1 species
GUUUUGAUAGUUUAACAUAAAACAUUGAUUUUGUAUAUCAAAAAUAAAAAAAUAUUUUUCAAAACU